GGCUCAGAUUGAACGCUGGCGGCAGGCCUAACACAUGCAAGUCGAGCGGUAACAUUUCUAGCUUGCUAGAAGAUGACGAGCGGCGGACGGGUGAGUAAUGCUUGGGAAUAUGCCUUAGGGUGGGGGACAACAGUUGGAAACGACUGCUAAUACCGCAUAACGUCUACGGACCAAAGGGGGCUUCGGCUCUCGCCCUUAGAUUAGCCCAAGUGGGAUUAGCUAGUUGGUGAGGUAAUGGCUCACCAAGGCGACGAUCCCUAGCUGGUUUGAGAGGAUGAUCAGCCACACUGGAACUGAGACACGGUCCAGACUCCUACGGGAGGCAGCAGUGGGGAAUAUUGCACAAUGGGCGCAAGCCUGAUGCAGCCAUGCCGCGUGUGUGAAGAAGGCCUUAGGGUUGUAAAGCACUUUCAGUAAGGAGGAAAGGUUAGUAGUUAAUACCUGCUAGCUGUGACGUUACUUACAGAAGAAGCACCGGCUAACUCCGUGCCAGCAGCCGCGGUAAUACGGAGGGUGCGAGCGUUAAUCGGAAUUACUGGGCGUAAAGCGUACGCAGGCGGUUUGUUAAGCGAGAUGUGAAAGCCCCGGGCUCAACCUGGGAACUGCAUUUCGAACUGGCAAACUAGAGUAUGAUAGAGGGUGGUAGAAUUUCAGGUGUAGCGGUGAAAUGCGUAGAGAUCUGAAGGA
rnacentral:rRNA from 1 species